rnacentral:misc_RNA from 1 species
GCUCCGUUGGUGAACCAGCGGAGGGAUCAUUACCGAGUUUACAACUCCCAAACCCAAUGUGAACGUUACCAAACUGUUGCCUCGGCGGGAUCUCUGCCCCGGGUGCGUCGCAGCCCCGGACCAAGGCGCCCGCCGGAGGACCAACCAAAACUCCUUAUGUAUACCCCCUCGCGGGUUUUUUUACAAUCUGAGCCAUCUCGGCGCCCCUCGUGGGCGUUUCGAAAAUGAAUCAAAACCUUCAACAACGGAUCUCUUGGUUCUG